rnacentral:lncRNA from 1 species
CUGCUCUCACAGCUUCAUGGCAGCCAGUGUGCAGCAGGACGCUGACAGCAGAGUGGCUCCAGUGAGCUGCCACUCCAGAUGUCAGGAACAAGCUCACAGACUGAGUGAAGCCGAGAAGGAUUGCAAACACCAGUGAGGAAGGGCUGGGAGACAACAGUGAUGAAGAGGAGCAGGCUUUCAGGCCAUAAGGUGGCUGUGAACUGCUUUGAAAUGAGGACAGGCCUCCCGGGAGGAAGGAAGAAUGCACCGAAGCAUGCACUGAUGAAAGUUUCUAUCCGAAGACCCAGAGUCAUGUUACUCUUCAUGGAAUGGGGCUGUCUCCUGGCUCAACAACCACAGCAUUUUCACACUUACAAAAGAAAAGACAUCUUCAGUCAACACAACUGAGCUGAGACUCCUCUAGAAGAGAGCUGUCAGGGUCCUGACAGACAGCUGGUGAGGUGCAGAAUGACAUGAGUGAGGGGC